GAUGGACGCUGGCUACAGGCUUAACACAUGCAAGUCGAGGGGAAACGGCAUUGAGUGCUUGCACUGAAUGGACGUCGACCGGCGCACGGGUGAGUAACGCGUAUCCAACCUUCCCGUUACUGCGGGAUAACCUGCCGAAAGGCAGACUAAUACCGCAUGUUCUUCGAUGACGGCAUCAGAUUCGAAGCAAAGAUCCGUCGGUAACGGAGGGGGAUGCGUCUGAUUAGCUAGUUGGCGGGGCGACGGCCCACCAAGGCGACGAUCAGUAGGGGUUCUGAGAGGACGGUCCCCCACAUUGGAACUGAGACACGGUCCAAACUCCUACGGGAGGCAGCAGUGAGGAAUAUUGGUCACUGGGCGGAAGCCUGAACCAGCCAAGUAGCGUGCAGGAUGACGGCCCUACGGGUUGUAAACUGCUUUUAUGCGGGGAUAAAGUGAGGGACGCGUCCCUUUUUGCAGGUACCGCAUGAAUAAGGACCGGCUAAUUCCGUG
rnacentral:rRNA from 1 species